rnacentral:rRNA from 1 species
GUAGGCAGCAAGCGUUGUUCGGAGUUACUGGGCGUAAAGGGUGUGUAGGCGGUUGUUUAAGUUUGGUGUGAAAUCUCCCGGCUCAACUGGGAGGGUGCGCCGAAUACUGAAUGACUUCGAGUGCGGGAGAGGAAAGUGGAAUUCCUGGUGUAGCGGUGAAAUGCGUAGAUAUCAGGAGGAACACCGGUGGUGUAGACGGCUUUCUGGACCGUAACUGACGCUGAGACACGAAAGCGUGGGUAGCAAACAGGAUUAGAUACCCUGGUAGUCCACGCCCUAAACGAUGCAUAUUUGGUGUGGGCAGUUCAUUCUGUCCGUGCCGGAGCUAACGCGUUAAAUAUGCCGCCUGGGGAGUACAGUCGCAAGGCUG